CAUUUAUACAUGUACUCACUCAAAUUUUACAAUUAUCUGAAUAUCAAACCUUACUUUACAAAGAUCCAAUAAAUGUUCAACUGUUUUUUUUUUUUCUAUUAUAUUUGAUGCAGAAGUCUUUGUGAUACAUUAGGGUUAGGGUUAGGGUUAGGGUUAGGGUUAGGGUUAGGGUUAGGGUUAGGGUAAGGGUUAGGGUUAGGGUAAGGAUUAGGUUUAGGGUUAGGUUAGAUUAGGGUUAGGGUUCGGUUAGGUUAGGGUUAGGGUUAAUGUUUGGUUAGGGUUAGGGUGGGUUAGGGUUAGGGUUAGGGUUCGGGUUGGGGUUAGUUUUAGGGUUAGGUUUAGGUUUAGAGUUAGGUUUGGGGUUAGGGUUAAGAUUAUUGUUUGGGUUAGGGUUAGGGUUUGGGUUAGGUUAUGUUUAGCAUUAGUGUUAGGGUAAGGAUUAUUGUUAGGUGUAGUGUGGGGUUAAGUUUAGGGUUAGGGUUAGGGUUUGUGUUGGGGAUAGGUUUAGGCUAGGGUUUAGGUUAGGGUUAGCGUUAUGUUUAGGUUAGUGUUCAUGUUACGGUUAGGGUUCGGUCAGGAUUAGGGUUAAUGUUAGAGUUUGGUUUAUGUUAGCAUAAGGGUUAGGGUUAGUUUAGUGUUAGUGUUAGAGUUAGGGUUAGGGUUAGGGUGGGGUUAGGGUAGGGUUAGGGUUAGGGUUAGAGUUAGGUUUUGGUUUAAUAUUAGGUUUAGGUUCAGUUUUAGGUUCAGCGUUAAUGUUACAGUUUUUGUUUUUUUGGGUAGGGUUUAGGGUUAAUGUUAUCAUUAGGGUUACUUUAGCGUAAGAUUUAGGGUUAUGUUUUGGGUUAGGGUUAGAUUAGUUUUCGGGUUAGGGUCGGGGAUUGUUUUAUGUUUAGGGUUAGGGUUAUGGUUAUGGUUAGGUUUUAGCGUUAGUUUUAGCUUUAGUGUUAAGGUCAGAGUUCAUGUAGGUUUAGUUUUAGGGUUAGGUUCGCUUUCAGUUUAGGGUAGGGUUAGGGUAGGGUUGGGGUUUGGGUUAGUAUUAGGGUUAGUGUUUAUGUUGCAGUCUUGCAGUUUUGGAAAUUGUUGCACUUGGGCCUGGGCAAUACCAGGUGUUUAGUCAGACUGGGUGAAGAACCCAUUGAGAGCAGCCCUGUGGAUAAG
ensembl:lncRNA